GCUCAAGUUGAUAACCUCCGGCGUAAAGCGUGGUUAAAAGACCCUUUUAAACUAAGGCUAAACUCUCUCAAAGCUGUUAUACGCAUCCGAGAGUAUGAAACACAACCACGAAAGUAGCCUUAACACCUCCUUGACCCCACGAAAGCUGUGAAACAAACUGGGAUUAGAUACCCCACUAUGCACAGCCAUAAACUUUGAUAGAAAAUCACAACCCCUAUCCGCCUGGGAACUACGAGCAUAAGCUUAAAACCCAAAGGACUUGGCGGUGCUUUAGACCCCCCUAGAGGAGCCUGUUCAAGAACCGAUAACCCCCGUUUUACCUCACCUUUUCUUGUUUAUCCCGCCUAUAUACCGCCGUCGUCAGCAUACCCUGUGAAGGAAGCAUAGUAAGCAAAAUUGGCAAAGCCCAAAACGCCAGGUCGAGGUGUAGCAUAUGAAAAGGAAAGAAUGGGCUACAUUUCCUCUCUUAGGAAACACGAAUUGUGUCAUGAAAUAACACAUGAAGGAGGAUUUAGCAGUAAGCAGAAAGCAGAGCGUUCUGCUGAAUCUGGCCCUGAAGCGCGCACACACCGCCCGUCACUCUCCCCAAGUCCAAAAACAUUUUUAACUAAAACCCCAUUAAGACAAAGGGGAGGCAAGUCGUAACAUGGUAAGUGUACCGGAAGG
rnacentral:rRNA from 1 species